rnacentral:rRNA from 1 species
AACGAACGCUGGCGGCAGGCUUAACACAUGCAAGUCGAACGCCCCGCAAGGGGAGUGGCAGACGGGUGAGUAACGCGUGGGAACGUGCCCUUCGCUUCGGAAUAGCCCCGGGAAACUGGGAGUAAUACCGAAUACGCCGUAUUGGGAAAGAUUUAUCGGCGAAGGAUCGGCCCGCGUUAGAUUAGCUAGUUGGCGGGGUAAUGGACCACCAAGGCUACGAUCUAUAGCUGGUCUGAGAGGAUGAUCAGCCACACUGGGACUGAGACACGGCCCAUACUCCUACGGGGGGCAGCAGUGGGGAAUCUUGGACAAUGGGCGCAAGCCUGAUCCAGCCAUGCCGCGUGAGUGAAGAAGGCCUUAGGGUUGUAAAACUCUUUCGCCGGAGAAGAUAAUGACGGUAUCCGGAGAAGAAGCCCCGGCUAACUUCGUGCCAGCAGCCGCAGUAACAC